GACAACUUUACCAAAAGAGUCAUAAGAUUGCUUCAAAUUACAGAAAGUACCACGCACGUGCAUGUGAUGGAUGAUGAUCACGCCGUUGAUUAUCAUCAACCAACACUCGAUAAGCGUCGACACCAUUACGCGAAAGUUGAAACCGAUCCACAUUAAUUAUUUAUAUGUAUUGUAAACUGGAUCGAGUCACCGGUUUUGGUAUAAUACCUUCUUUUUCCUUUUUCUUUGUUCAUCCGCUUUUUAAUUA